rnacentral:rRNA from 1 species
UAGGGAAUCUUCCGCAAUGGGCGAAAGCCUGACGGAGCAACGCCGCGUGAGUGAUGAAGGUCUUCGGAUCGUAAAACUCUGUUAUUAGGGAAGAACAAAUGUGUAAGUAACUAUGCACAUCUUGACGGUACCUAAUCAGAAAGCCACGGCUAACUACGUGCCAGCAGCCGCGGUAAUACGUAGGUCCCGAGCGUUGUCCGGAUUUAUUGGGCGUAAAGCGAGCGCAGGCGGUUAGAAAAGUCUGAAGUGAAAGGCAGUGGCUCAACCAUGGUAGUCUUUGGAAACUGUUUAACUUGAGUGCAGAAUGGGAGAGUGGAAUUCCAUGUGUUGCGGUGAAAUGCGUAGCUAUAUGGAGGAACACCGGUGGCGAAAGCGGCUCUCUGGUCUGUAACUGACGCUGAGGCUCGAAAGCGUGGGGAGCGAACAGG